rfam:Schistosoma rodhaini strain Burundi genome assembly, scaffold: SROB_scaffold0003452
AUCCAGAUGACGAGUCUCAAAUAAGACGAGGUGACGUGUGUCCUGGAU